UAACUUUUUUUAUUUUUAUAUAUAGUGCUGCUUGAAAAUCAUACAUGUGACCCCAAAAGAUCAUCAGAUUUUCACACAAAUCCUGAAAGUUGACAGAGAAUCCAUGUCUUUUUUUGAUUGCAUUCUCUUUGUCAACUUUCAGGACUGAAAAUCUGAUGAUCUUUUGGGUCAUUCCUAUGCAGAAAUAUAGACCAUUAUAAAGGGUUCACAAACUUUCAAGCAGCACUGUAUAAUCAAAUAUAAUUGAUUAAUAUAAUGGCAAGGCUUUAUAUUUUCAGUACCCAUUACUCUAGCCUUCAGUCUCCACAUGAUCCACAACCCAUUCUCACUCCAAAGGCGUCAAAAACCGAAGCAUGGUCAAGCGCCCCUAGCGUCACUUUUAUGACGCCAAAUGUGCCUCUCGGCGUCGAAUAUCGAAGCACUACGACCUUCAUUGCUUUCAAUGGGAAACUUUUGGCGUCAGAAUUUGACACGAGGACAUGAAAUGUUUAUCGCUAUGAAAUCACGUUCAAGAAGUCUCAUUCAGCACACAUCGCGAUACUUGCUAUCAGUUCCACAGUUUGGCUGAAAAGACAUAAAGGCAGUCAGCCCAGUGGUGUUUCUGGAGAGGGAUUCCUUCAGAAAUGGAGAAGACAGAAAGCUGCGGAGGCAGAUAUAUGCAGCAGAUUGUUUGAGGAUAACGCUGUAGCUCCAUCAUGCACAAGGACUCACCUCGUUUACUCUUUAUCACCCACACACACAGAAAUGGUCCCUGGAUCAGUGAUUAGACUUUGCAGUGGUUUGAUUUUUGCAGAAGAUGUAACUUUGUUUUAAUUAUAAGCUCAUAAUGAAUACAUUACAGAACCAGUGAUGAAAACAAUAGUUAAAAAUAGCGCUCCAUAUUAAAAAUAUAUU